rnacentral:rRNA from 1 species
UACGGAGGAUGCAAGCAUUAUCCGGAUUUAUUGGGUUUAAAGGGUGCGCAGGUUGUUUGAUAAGUCAGUGGUGAAAGUCUGUCGCUUAACGGUGGGAUUGCCAUUGAUACUGUUAGACUUGAAUAUGGAUGAGGUAGGCGGAAUGUGUAGUGUAGCGGUGAAAUGCAUAGAUAUUACACAGAACACCGAUUGCGAAGGCAGCUUACUAAUCCAUCAUUGACGCUGAGGCACGAAAGCGUGGGGAUCAAACA